GAUGAAGAACGUAGCGAAAUGCGAUAAGUAAUGUGAAUUGCAGAAUUCAGUGAAUCAUCGAAUCUUUGAACGCAUCUUGCGCUCCUUGGUAUUCCUUGGAGCAAGCCUGUUUGAGUAUCAUGAGCAAAUCUCAAAGUCAAUUCCUUUUGUUGAUUCAAUUGGUUUUGCUUUGGACUUGGAGGCCUUGCAGAUUUCACAGUCUGCUCCUCUUAAAUGCAUUAGCUGGAUCUCAGUAAUUAUGCUUGGUUCCACUCGGCGUGAUAAGUAUCACUCGCUGAGGACACUGUUAAAAAGGUGGCCAGGAAAAUACUGAUUGAACCGCUUCUAACGGUCUAUUAAGUUAGACAAUUACCCUUAAGUUUGAUCUCAAAUCAGGUAGGACUACCCGCUGAACUUAAGCAUAUCAAUAAGCGGAGGA
rnacentral:misc_RNA from 1 species